GAUGAACGCUAGCGAUAGGCUUAACACAUGCAAGUCGAGGGGCAGCAUGGUCUUAGCUUGCUAAGACUGAUGGCGACCGGCGCACGGGUGCGUAACGCGUAUGCAACUUGCCUCACAGAGGGGGAUAACCCGUCGAAAGACGGACUAAUACCGCGUACACUCCAUCUUGGGCAUCCAAGGUAGAGGAAAUGAAAUUCGCUGUGAGAUAGGCAUGCGUCCCAUUAGCUAGUUGGUGAGGUAACGGCUCACCAAUGCGACGAUGGGUAGGGGAACUGAGAGGUUGAACCCCCACACUGGUACUGAGACACGGACCAGACUACUACGGGAGGCAGCAGUGAGGAAUAUUGGUCAAUGGGCGAGAGCCUGAACCAGCCAAGUCGCGUGAAGGAUGACUGUCUUAUGGAUUGUAAACUUCUUUUAUACGGGAAUAACAAGAGUCACGUGUGACUCCCUGCAUGUACCGUAUGAAUAAGCAUCGGCUAACUCCGUG
rnacentral:rRNA from 1 species